CAACUUCAAUCUUCAACCCUGUACCUGUGAAGCACCCCCCCCCCCACGGUGUUAUUUAGAGCUACUGCUUAAGCAAUUGUCCUCAAGGCUGAACAGACACUGACUUUUGACUUGUUGUCGUUGAUGAUCUGACCUUUUUGAAGGUGUGUGCGGGGUGUGUCGGUAUGUGUGUGGUUGUGGGUGUGUGUCUUCAACAAAGAAGCUCAGCAAAUUACUGGUUAACUGGUUCUGUCACUAAGAUAUGCAUGCCAUGCAACUGGGUGUCUGCAUGAGAGAACCAUGGUAAAAUAACAACAACAAUGCACUUUUGCUUAGUGUUAUCCAGGAUAUAUUGUUUAAUUAAAAGCCAUCAGACUUAAAGGGACAGUUUGCAGAUCCAACACAUUAUCCUGAUAUUAUGCCACCAGGUGUGAGUGUGAUAUGAAAAAAGUGUAUAGUUGAACAAUAAAAGUUUUCAUUCUUGAUGACACAUUUCAAAAUUAUUAUAAAGUUAUAAAAAUCACAUCUUUAUUUUGAGACCUAAAUCAUGAAUACAAGAAAAAGUUUACGCAGUGUCCCAUUUUCCCUUAAUCUAUCUUACCAGCCAAGAGAAACGCAUCACAAUCCUCAAAUAUUGACUCUGCAGCACACCGUUCAAACAAGACCUGCCUCUUUUUGGGGUCAGGAAACCUCACAACGCUUACAACACCGGGACCGAAUUAGAAAGAGUAUAGUCAUAUAGACGAAGGACUCAUCAUCAAGAAUCAUCAUCAAAUUGCAAACAAAGGCCGCUGAUGAAGACAUAGACCAAAGACGAGGAUAGGGCGAGUGGGAGCAACUGGAGAAAACUUCACCUUUCAGCGGACACAAAAUUAAAAAUAAUAAUUCGGCGCCGCCAUGACCCUGCCGUCCGUCGGUGCGACCAGCCUCUGUCUCCCCUCCCAGACCACCGUCCAGCAGCUGUUCUCCGUGGCCAGGGAUGCCGGUGUGGUUCCAGACAUCUCCCUGGACCCCGUCCUCACCGCCUUCCUGUCCAUGGAGUCGCGUGCGUCCCUGCUGCACCAGUACGCCUCGCUGCAGAGGGGCAUGACGCCGGAGCAGCUGGCCUCCUUCCGCCACAACGUGAGCGGGGAGCUGGGUGGCAGCACCAGGGUCCGCCACGGAGGAGUGGGCGUGGUCGCCCUGGCCCUCUCCGUGCUCUUUGACCUCGUGGCCAAAAAGGUCCCGAAGCAGCAGGGGGCGACCGGGUGCCUAUUUGGGAUCCGGCGCUCCUCCAGGAUCGGCCGGAUGAUCCACAGCUACCUGCGUCUGAUCCCCGGCGUGGCCAACGACCCUGAGGGCAUGGCCGAGACCACAGAGCUCUACGACAACUGGCUGAAGCUGGAGCUGAUCGACCACUACGAGAGGAUGACCAACAAGAAGAGGAUGGGCUCCGAGGCCAUGAGGCAGUGGCUUGCUGGCGCCGCCGUCCACAUGCACAUGAGGAUCCACCAGGUGAGACUGAAAUCGGUGCCUCUUGGCUCGGCCGAGUCCCUGCGCCUCUCUUACAGGACGGCUUUCGCCCAGCUGGUGCAGGACUACGCAUCCUACCUCCGCCGAAACAUCCGGGAAACCCCGCCUUCAGGCACAUACAAACCCAACGCGGCCCAGCCAGGCGAGCGAACACCGGCGGCUACGACGUUCCAGCGCCUCACCGACCACGGGACCCGGAAGGAACCGAGUGAGACAGAGGGAGCAGGGGUAGCCGUCUGCGUGGGGGCGACGAUGGGUAACGUCAGCCUGGCCUGCCCAAUGAAUGACCUCAACGGGACCGGCCCCGACGGGCAUAACUCAACCACCGCAGCGAACCAAGCGGCAGCUUUUAGCGGAGGAUCCAAUGAGGUUACGGGGCAAACAGGUCCAAAACAGAUGGAUAAUAAUAAUGACGUGGGCCCUGAAAGAGGUGCAGCCAGUGUGUUGAGUGGUGUUGGCGGGGCUGCGCAGCCAACAGCCAGUGACGGUCUGUUAGUCAUUGAAGCCAUGAGGAACGUGAGUCAUGGUGUACGGCAUCGGGCCUGUGAGUCUCCAGUCAUAGAGCAAGCCCUGGCCACCCUCAUUUCAGAGGCGCAGGACCUGGAAGAGAGCAGGGACUUUUUCCUGUACCCCCGGCCACUGCUUGACAAUCUGCUCGGCCAGAGAGCUGACUUUGACUUGAAGAUAAGAUGGCGGAAAACUAUUUGA
rnacentral:lncRNA from 1 species